rnacentral:rRNA from 1 species
UACAGAGGGGGCAAGCGUUGUUCGGAAUUACUGGGCGUAAAGGGCGCGUAGGCGGCCUUCUAAGUCGAACGUGAAAUCCCCGGGCUCAACCCGGGAACUGCGUCCGAUACUGGAAGGCUUGAAUCCGGGAGAGGGAUGCGGAAUUCCAGGUGUAGCGGUGAAAUGCGUAGAUAUCUGGAGGAACACCGGUGGCGAAGGCGGCCAACUGGACCACAACUGACGCUGAGGCGCGAAAGCGUGGGGAGCAAACAGG